UACAGAGGUCCCGAGCGUUGUUCGGAUUCACUGGGCGUAAAGGGUGCGUAGGUGGCGAGGUAAGUCGGAUGUGAAAGCUCGGAGCUCAACUCCGAAAUGGCAUUGGAAACUACCUUGCUCGAGGGUUGGAGGGGGGACUGGAAUACUUGGUGUAGCAGUGAAAUGCGCAGAUAUCAGGAGGAACACCGGUGGCGAAGGCGGGACUCUGGGCCGAUACUGACGCUGAGGAGCGAAAGCGUGGGGAGCAAACAGG
rnacentral:rRNA from 1 species